ACGGUGGCGGACUACGCGAGCGCUCAGGCCUCCUGCCACUGUAGCAUGACCAUGACAGGCGGGUCCCGGUCCCCGCGCCCACCUCGCGCGAAGCCCAGAGAACUCCAGAGACCCCCCUCCGCGAGCUCCAGGCACCGACGGAAAAAAUACUCACUACCUCCUUCUCCGGUGGCCACGGGCGCCAACGCCUCUCGCCUCUCGCAUUCGCCUCCUCGCGCGACGCCGCCGACCGAAUCCACGCUGCCGCCACCAGGACCGAGCCGCCACCUCCCAGCUCCACCUCCCCAUCGGAACCGAGCCGCCGCCACCCGGAUCCACCUCCCCGAUGGCGCUGCCUCCUUCUUCGCUCACUCCGUCCGCCUGCUCCUCGCCCCUCCGCCUUACCCAACCGAGGUCAGCGGCUCGCCUCCUGCUGACGCCGGUGCUGGUCCGCCGCCUCCUGGCCUCCUGGGCUGCUCGGUGUGAGGAGCGCACCGAGCGGGGCCGCGGCGAGGCCGGAGCCGAAGCUGAAGCAGCAGGAGAGCUCACGCACCGCGCCCGAGCUCGCCCGGAUCCACCUCCUCCGCCGCCGGCCAAAGCCACCGGAGCCGCGCCCCACCGGAUUCAAGGCGCCGCCAUCCGAGCCCGCGCCACACUGAGCCACCGUCACGAACUGCUGCGGCGAGUGGCAGCUACGGACUCCGCCGGUAGAAGCCAUUGAAGAUAAAUCUUUCAUGAGUUCAGCAAACUGCAUAGAGGCUAGGAAUUGCCCAAACACAUCAACAAUGUCCCUAUCCUGUACAACAUUCACUUGCAACAGCAAUGGAGAAAGUUCAGGUAUGAUUUCUCAGUUAAUUAUGAGGUAUGAACGAACUAUGUAAAUGGGUAUUGUAUUCUGAAAUCUCAGAGGAAAGCCAAAGCUCACUUUUGGCAAUGACAUCAAUGAGCUGAGUUUCAGAGUUUAGGGACCAAAUUAAUGGAGACACCGAUUGCUGACUACAUUGUUAGCCAGUUAUAGUGAGACCAAAGGAAGUGACACUAACAGUUUUAAUGGAGAUGGCAGUCUUUAAAAGAUCAGAGACUCAGAGUUGAGACAUUGCCCCUUUGAAUCAUGUUCGCUUUGCUGAAUGAGUUUGAUUUGUUGACAUAUCAUAAGGGUAUAUAGUUCAGCUGUGUAGUUAUAGAAGCAAAUUUUCUUUUCUCAACAAUAAGGAGGCAAUAAAGUUUUGUGGUUAUCAUUAAAGCAGAUUUCCUUUUAAGAAAAUAACAGGAGAGCUACUAUUUUAUGAUUAAAGCAAGAAAGUUCAGUACAGAAAGAAUGUCAAAGUUAUUAUAAUUUAUGGAAACAAAGCUAAGCUGCUAGAGAUAAUAUGAUUUAUCUACACUGAGUUUUCAGCCUCUUGCAUCUUCGAAGUUACAAUUUACAUAAUUAGUAGCUUAGCAAAAUAAAUUUGUUCUAUCAUUUUAGGUGCAAAUUGGUGCCAUGUUUACAAUUUUGUCCUGGUAUUGAAGUCUUGACGUAUUAAAUAAAAACUACAGCCACAACAUUUUAAUGAGUGUAGCUGUAAAAUAGCCUAAAAUAAGACUCAUCUUAUCCUUCAAAUUAGAACUUACAAAUCACACAAUAUUCCAGCAUUAUAUUUGUUUACAUUUGUU